rnacentral:rRNA from 1 species
GACGAACGCUGGCGGCGUGCCUAAUACAUGCAAGUUGAGCGCUGAAGGAUGGUACUUUUGCCAACUGGGUGAGCAGCGAACGGGUGAGUAACGCGUGGGGAAUCUGCCUUUGAGCGGGGGACAACAUUUGGAAACGAAUGCUAAUACCGCAUAAAAACUUUAAACACAAGUUGUAAGUUUGAAAGAUGCAAUUGCAUCACUCAAAGAUGAUCCCGCGUUGUAUUAGCUAGUUGGUGAGGUAAAGGCUCACCAAGGCGAUGAUACAUAGCCGACCCGAGAGGGUGAAUGGCCAACUUGGGACCGGGGCACCGCCCAAACUCCUACGGGAGGCAGCAGGAGGGAAACUUCGGCCAUGGACGAAAGUCUGACCGCGCAACGCCGCGUGAGUGAAGAAGGGUUUCGGAUCGUAAAACUCUGUUGGUAGGGAAGAACGUUGGUGAGAGUGGAAAGCUCAUCAAGUGACGGUAACUAACCAGAAAGGGACGGCUAACUACGUG